UACGAAGGGGGCAAGCGUUGUUCGGAAUUACUGGGCGUAAAGGGCGCGUAGGCGGCUUAUCAAGUUAGGCGUGAAAUUCCGGGGCUCAACCUGGGGGUUGCGUUUGAGACUGAUGAGCUUGAAUGCGGGAGAGGAUAGUGGAAUUCCCAGUGUAGAGGUGAAAUUCGUAGAUAUUGGGAAGAACACCGGUGGCGAAGGCGGCUAUCUGGCC
rnacentral:rRNA from 1 species